UACGGGGGGAGCAAGCGUUGUUCGGAUUUACUGGGCGUAAAGGGCGCGUAGGCGGUCAGCACAAGUCGGUUGUGAAAUCUCCGGGCUUAACCCGGAAAGGUCAACUGAUACUGUGCGACUAGAGUGCGGAAGGGGCAACUGGAAUUCUCGGUGUAGCGGUGAAAUGCGUAGAUAUCGAGAGGAACACCUGCGGCGAAGGCGGGUUGCUGGGCCGACACUGACGCUGAUGCGCGAAAGCCAGGGGAGCGAACGGG
rnacentral:rRNA from 1 species